UGAGGAAUAUUGCGCAAUGGGCGAAAGCCUGACGCAGCGACGCCGCGUGGAGGACGAAGGCCUUCGGGUCGUAAACUCCUGUCAAGAGGGACGAAAGUCCUCGGGAUGAAUAAGCUCGGGGAUUGACGGUACCUCUGGAGGAAGCCCCGGCUAACUCCGUGCCAGCAGCCGCGGUAAUACGGAGGGGGCCAGCGUUGUUCGGAAUUAUUGGGCGUAAAGGGCGCGUAGGCGGUUUGGUAAGUCAGUUGUGAAAUCCCUCGGCUCAACCGAGGAAUUGCGUCUGAUACUGCCGAACUCGAGUCCCGGAGAGGGUAGCGGAAUUCCCAGUGUAGCGGUGAAAUGCGUAGAUAUUGGGAGGAACACCAGUGGCGAAGGCGGCUACCUGGACGGGUACUGACGCUGAGGCGCGAAAGCGUGGGGAGCAAACAGGAUUAGAUACCCCCGUAGUCC
rnacentral:rRNA from 1 species